UGGUGUAAUCCUAUCCACGGUCCUCAGCAUCGCUCUCAGGUACGAGUGUGGACAUUGUGUACAGAUGGACAGUAUCUAAUCUAGAUGAGGUCACCUGCCUCUAGUACACCCGGGGCUCCGCCUAUGUCCCUACCCUCUCGGCCAGGGCUGACAGGCAGAGGUGGAGAGGGUCGCCCCCAUCGACAGAAACGCGAUCAUCCUCGGGCGGCAGCACUGAGAUGGCUCAAGUUCCUGUCCCAGACUCUCAGAGAGAGGAAGAGGUACUGGCUGACUGCCUCAUGUCCAUGGGUCAGUUUUGCCAGUUCCCAGUUGCGAGCUCCCCGUCUCAGGCCGAGGGGGGCGAACCAGAACCGAAAAGGUAUGAGGCCACUCUUAGGAUGCUGCUGGCCCGCCUGGGUGGGCAGAUGGUUCCCAGCUGCGGGGAGGAUCGGGGGUAUUGGGGAGGGGAUAUCGAGGGGCCGAUGCCCGCCUAGAUACCUUGGGACCCCGGCACCCCAAGCUGCUCCGUGCGGGCGCGCUGCUGCCCAUCCAACCCGGCCAUGCCUUACCUCCCGCCGUGCAGCCCUGACAGCAACACCUUGGGUUGGCCCCGGCCCCGGAAGAGUCCUCCAGCGCGUGAUCAAAGGAGCGGGAGAGAAGGCGGGGCCUUGGCGCCCCAGUCCAGCAUGGUGGCCAAUCCGGAUGCGGGUGGGCGGGCCGGACGGGGUCCUGCAGCGUCCACGCCGCGGCAGCAGGGGGCGACCGAGGGCCGCGCAGCGGGAAGGUUGCGGGACGGCGCGCUUUCCCGGCUGCACACGGGCGGGCGGGGCCAGUGGUCACCGCAGGAUCCUGGCGACUGGUUGUCCGCGGGUAGAGGCGGUGGCCGAGGGCCUCAUUCCUUUCUGUCCCCGCGUCUUCAAAGCAGGUUGCCGUGAAACUGAAAUGAUGGUGUGGGACUGGAGCCCAGCACAUCCCUGUGGCCCGAAUGCUAAGCUCAUUGAAGCACUUUCCCCACUGUGCGAUGAGGGGAAGCACAGAUGGAGCAGCGGGGUCACUUGCUUGAGUCAGGGGCAGCUCAGUAAGCCUGUGUCCAAGCUGUGAUCGUCUGAUUAUUAAAGUUACUUAGACUG
rnacentral:lncRNA from 1 species